ensembl:lncRNA
AUGCCCUGGAUUCCUGUCUGGCAGGUGCUUGCUGCCUGCUUCCGGUGGGAAGAGGGUGGAGGGGCAGAUCUCAUGCCUGCUCCUUCUUCCAAUUCUCUACUGCCCACCACCCCACCCGCAAAGCAAUCCCUUGCCUACUCCCCAGCCCCCCCCAAAAAAAGAAGCAUUUUGAACUGCUCCGAAAGACAAGUGCAAAGCCCACCCCCACCCCCCACCGCAACCUCAAGCCCAGGCGCGCUUCUCGCUAAGCAGAGGUCGAGCAGACCCGGGCACAAAAUGGCAGGGCUCGCUGCGAAGGCAGCAGCGCGGCAGAAGUUUUGGCACGCGCGGGGCACGGCGAAGAAGCGAAACUUUUGGUCGCCAUUGAUUCCGGGGCUGGGGAAAGAGGUGUUAAAAGGGGGAAGCUCAGCGGCCGGCUGGAUCGCGCAGCAUCCGUCCAAGACGCUCCGGCGCUUAAGAGAAGUAAUCAACGAUAAAGUGACGUUGAUCUGCACUGUAACCUUGUGGCGUAUUUAAUGUAAAUAAGCAGUUAUGUUGCCAAUCGCACGCAUGCAAACAGAGAAAGGUCCUCAGCGUUGCAUUUUGAUGCUUUCCAUUAAGGCUGACUUUAUUUACAUACACUAUUUAGGGGAAAGAGAGGGGGGAGAAGAGGAGAGAGGGAGAGGGAGAGGAGAUCAUGAUGGUACGAAGACAAUACUAGUGCCAAAUGAUUAUGAAAAUAUGAUUUUAAUUAAUCACGUAGUAGGCAAGGAAAUUAGCAUACGGUAAUUAAACUUCCAGGGGAAAAAAAGGGAACGAAAGAAAGAAAGAGGGAGGGGGGAAAAACACGCCAUGAAGGUUCUUUUUGCCUUAUGGGUCUGGAAUAAUCGGGGGGGGAUAUAUAUAGAUAUAGAUUUAAAAUAUGAGAUUCCCACUCCCCCCUCCUCCUCCUCCUGCGCUCCAAUGCUUAUAUUAUAAAGCAGAUAACUUUAAAGGAAAAGAAAAGCCAGCAACUUUAGCAAGGUUGAUCUGCUGAGGAAGGUCUAGGAAAUAGCCCAGCAGAAGGUGAGAAACGGGGAGUAGGGGGUAUGUGUGGCUACUGAAGUAAAAGAAGAGAGGGAAGCGGGGCAGAAGGGGGGUCAAAAUGGAGUGGGGGGGAGAGAAAGCUGAAUAAUGCAAUUAUGGAUUCUGUGUCCCAUAGUUGACAAAAGCAUGGUGCCUCAAUAGACUCUUUGUGAUGGGAUUAUAUAAUGAUUGUGGGGUAAUUAUGGGAAAAAAGAGAUUUAGUCAUAAUAAAAAAAGUAUCAAAAUACAUCAGCUUCUUUUAAAAGGAAAAAGCUAGCUCACGAUAUUAGGGGCAUGUUAAUAGGAAGGGGGGCGGUGGGAGAGAGAGGGAGAGAGAGAAAGGCAAGAUCCGAACGAGCUGACAAAUAAAGAGAAGACUGUGAUGCGCAUGAUUAAGAAGAGAUGGAGACAGAUUGAUUAUUCAAAAUGCCGAGCCACAGGGACACUUAAAACAUUGAUUCAGGUAACACUAGUUUCAUCUCAACUGAAAUGAGUUCCCUGAAGAUGACUGGCAUACAUUUUAAAUCAGUUUAUGCCGUUAAAAAAAGAGAGUGAAAGAGAGAAAGAAAGAAAGCAGAAACAACAUCACAAGCAGAAAUCUUCUAACAUAAACGCAGAAGUCCAUGCAAGUGGAGGUGGGAUUAGAUUUCUGGCAAUUCCCCGAAAGAAUAAUAAAAGUAUGUGAGGGUGUGUUUAAUUACUCUCUUCCUUAAAUGUUCCCAUUAUUCCUUUCCAUCCGAUUUGAGAGGGAUGCUUACUCGUUUUUCACAUUAUAUGAGGUUCCAUCCCCCAUCCCUCAUACAAAUGGGAUGACUUUUUAAUCAGCUGCCCCCAAAAAAGAGAUUUCCAAAAGGAUUUUUUUAAAAGGAAGUUUCUCUUUCCCCACCCCUCCUGACUUUUUUGUUUUUUGCUUUUGUUUUGAAGAAGUUUAAGAGCAGUUCUUUAAGACUGGUCCUAGAAAUGUGGGGAAGAAGAGACCAGUUUUCAUGUCCCGUCUUCCAAAGUUUUGAAAUUCAC